ACACAUGCAGUCGAGGGGCAGCAUCAUCAAAGCUUGCUUUGAUGGAUGGCGACCGGCGCACGGGUGAGUAACACGUAUCCAACCUGCCGACAACACUGGGAUAGCCUUUCGAAAGAAAGAUUAAUACCGGAUGGCAUAAUUAUUCCGCAUGGGAUAAUUAUUAAAGAAUUUCGGUUGUCGAUGGGGAUGCGUUCCAUUAGGCAGUUGGCGGGGUAACGGCCCACCAAACCUACGAUGGAUAGGGGUUCUGAGAGGAAGGUCCCCCACAUUGGAACUGAGACACGGUCCAAACUCCUACGGGAGGCAGCAGUGAGGAAUAUUGGUCAAUGGACGAGAGUCUGAACCAGCCAAGUAGCGUGAAGGAUGACUGCCCUAUGGGUUGUAAACUUCUUUUAUACGGGAAUAAAGUGAGCCACGUGUGGCUUUUUGUAUGUACCGUAUGAAUAAGGAUCGGCUAACUCCGUGCCAGCAGCCGCGGCAAUACGGAGGAUUCGAGCGUUAUCCGGAUUUAUUGGGUUUAAAGGGAGCGUAGGCGGGUUGUUAAGUCAGUUGUGAAAGUUUGCGGCUCAACCGUAAAAUUGCAGUUGAUACUGGCGACCUUGAGUGCAACAGAGGUAGGCGGAAUUCGUGGUGUAGCGGUGAAAUGCUUAGAUAUCACGAAGAACUCCGAUUGCGAAGGCAGCUUACUGGAUUGUAACUGACGCUGAUGCUCGAAAGUGUGGGUAUCAAACAGGAUUAGAUACCCUGGUAGUCCACACAGUAAACGAUGAAUACUCGCUGUUGGCGAUAUACAGUCAGCGGCCAAGCGAAAGCAUUAAGUAUUCCACCUGGGGAGUACGCCGGCACGGUGAAACUCAGAGGAAUUGACGGGGGCCCGC
rnacentral:rRNA from 1 species